AGGACGAACGCUUGCGGCGUGCCUAAGAAAUGCAAGUCGAGCGGACAGUAGUAAUACUGUUAGCGGCGAACGGUCGCGUAACACGUAGGCAACCUGCCCCAAAGCCCGGGACAACAGGGGGAAACCUCUGCUAAUACCGGAUGUGGUCAUGUCCUCACCUGGGGAGAUGAGUAAACCGUCUUCGGGCGGCUUUGGGAGGGGCCUGCGGCCUAUCAGCUAGAUGGUGGGGUAACGCCUACCAUGGCGACGACGGGUAGCUGGUCUGAGAGGAUGGUCAGCCGGACUGGGGACUGAGACACGGCCCAGACUCCUACGGGGGGCAGCAACUAGGAAUCUUGUACGAUGGGCGAAAGCCUGAUACAGCGACGCCGCGUGAGGGAGGACGGGCCUUCGGUUGUAAACCUCUUUUAACGAGGAAGAAACAAAUGACGGUACUCGUUGAAUAAGCCCCGGACUAACUCCGCGCCAGCAGCCGC
rnacentral:rRNA from 1 species